CGAGUAGGCGGCCUCCUAAGUCAGACGUGAAACCCCCCGGCUUAACCUGGGAACUGCGUCUGAUACUGGGAAGCUUGAGUAUGGGAGAGGAAGGUAGAAUUCCAGGUGUAGCGGUGAAAUGCGUAGAUAUCUGGAGGAAUACCGGUGGCGAAGGCGGCCUUCUGGACCAUAACUGACGCUGAUCCGCGAAAGCUAGGGGAGCAAACG
rnacentral:rRNA from 1 species